rnacentral:rRNA from 1 species
CGUGUAGGCGGAAGAGCACGUCGGUCGCUGAAAUCCCCCGGCUCAACCGGGGAACGGGCGCCGAAACGACUUUUCUCGAGGGACGUAGGGGGACCUGGAACUUCCGGCGGAGCGGUGAAAUGCGUUGAGAUCGGAAGGAACGCCCGUGGCGAAAGCGAGGUCCUGGACGUUUUCUGACGCUGAGACGCGAAAGCCAGGGGAGCGAACGGGAUUAGAUACCCCGGUAGUCCCGGCCGUAAACGAUGGGCACUGGGUAGGGGGCUCGCCGAUGGGCUCCCUGCCGUAGCGAAAGCGUGAAGUGCCCCGCCUGGGGAGUAUGGUCGCAAGGCUGAA